rnacentral:rRNA from 1 species
GUAAACGGCGGCCGUAACUAUAACGGUCCUAAGGUAGCGAAAUUCCUUGUCGGGUAAGUUCCGACCCGCACGAAAGGCGUAAUGAUUUGGGCACUGUCUCAACAAUGCACCCGGUGAAAUUGAAAUACCAGUGAAGAUGCUGGUUACCUGCGCCAGGACGGAAAGACCCCAUGGAGCUUUACUCCAGCUUGAUACUGGGAUUCGGUACUGCAUGUACAGGAUAGGUGGGAGACUGAGAAAGAAGGACGCCAGUCCUUUUGGAGUCACUGUUGGGAUACCACCCUUGCAGUAUUGGAUUUCUAACCAACAGCCAUGAUCUGGUUGGGGGACAAUGUCAGGUGGGGAGUUUGACUGGGGCGGUCGCCUCCGAAAGGGUAUCGGAGGCGCUCAAAGGUUCCCUCAGAAUGGUUGGAAACCAUUCGAAGAGUGCAAAGGCAGAAGGGAGCUUGACUGCGACACCGACGGGUGGAGCAGGUACGAAAGUAGGACUUAGUGAUCCGGUGGUAUAAAGUGGGAUUGCCAUCGCUCAACGGAUAAAAGCUACCCUGGGGAUAACAGGCUUAUCACUCCCAAGAGUUCACAUCGACGGAGUGGUUUGGCACCUCGAUGUCGGCUCAUCGCAUCCUGGGGCUGAAGUAGGUCCCAAGGGUUGGGCUGUUCGCCCAUUAAAGCGGUACGCGAGCUGGGUUCAGAACGUCGUGAGACAGUUCGGUCCCUAUCCGGCGCAGGCGGAGGAAAUUUGAUAGGAGCUGUCCUUAGUACGAGAGGACCGGGAUGGACGGACCACUGGUGGAUCUGUUGUAUUACCAAAUGCAUAGCAGAGUAGCCAAGUCUGGAAGGGAUAAACGCUGAAGGCAUCUAAGCGUGAAGCCCCCCUAAAGAUAAGAUUUCCCAUAGAGUAAUCUAGUAAGACCCCUUGAAGACGACGAGGUAGAUAGGGCAGAGGUGGAAGUGCGGCAACGUAUGGAGCUGACUGUUACUAAUCGGUCGAGGCUUUAACCAA